GAUGAACGCUGGCGGCGUGCCUAAUACAUGCAAGUCGAGCGAAUGGAUUAAGAGCUUGCUCUUAUGAAGUUAGCGGCGGACGGGUGAGUAACACGUGGGUAACCUGCCCAUAAGACUGGGAUAACUCCGGGAAACCGGGGCUAAUACCGGAUAACAUUUUGAACCGCAUGGCUCGAAAUUGAAAGGCGGCUUCGGCUGUCACUUAUGGAUGGACCCGCGUCGCAUUAGCUAGUUGGUGAGGUAACGGCUCACCAAGGCAACGAUGCGUAGCCGACCUGAGAGGGUGAUCGGCCACCCGGGGACUGAGACACGGCCCAGACUCCUACGGGAGGCAGCAGUAGGGAAUCUUCCGCAAUGGACGAAAGUCUGACGGAGCAACGCCGCGUGAGUGAUGAAGGCUUUCGGGUCGUAAAACUCUGUUGUUAGGGAAGAACAAGUGCUAGUUGAAUAAGCUGGCACCUUGACGGUACCUAACCAGAAAGCCACGGCUAACUACGUGCCAGCCGCCGCGGUAA
rnacentral:rRNA from 1 species